rnacentral:lncRNA from 1 species
GUCAGAGGGCUUAGACAUGGAGGGGACAGAAGAUUUCCAUGCGCACUCUCAUCUCUUGUAGUCAGCAACAGGUAUCUGUGCGGAGGGCUCUGGAUCAUCCGCUACCCUGAAGGAUCUGGAAAGCAGAUACCAAGAGGUAACAGUCGCCCUGGACUCGAGUUAUAUAACAAUCAGUCGACGGAAUAAAACCAUCGAGUCAUUGGAAAAGCAAGAAAGCCAGCAAAACCGGGGAGCCCUAAAGAGGCAAUUACAGGUUCAAUUCAGAUAAUUAGAGUCUUGAUGUUUGAGAAAGCAGAAUUGAAGACAACACUGUAUCACAAUGAACGUGCUGCCAG